rnacentral:rRNA from 1 species
UUACUGACGCUAAUGCUCGAAAAGUGCGGGUAUCGAACAGGAUUAGAUACCCUGGUAGUCCGCACGGUAAACGAUGGAUGCCCGCUGUUGGCGAUACAUUGUCAGCGGCCAAGCGAAAGCGUUAAGCAUCCCACCUGGGGAGUACGCCGGCAACGGUGAAACUCAAAGGAAUUGACGGGGGCCCGCACAAGCGGAGGAACAUGUGGUUUAAUUCGAUGAUACGCGAGGAACCUUACCCGGGCUUGAACUGCGGAGGAAUGCGGCGGAGACGCCAAAGCUCUUCGGAGCCUCCGUGGAGGUGCUGCAUGGUUGUCGUCAGCUCGUGCCGUGAGGUGUCGGCUUAAGUGCCAUAACGAGCGCAACCCUUGCUGUCAGUUGCCAUCAGGUCGAGCUGGGCACUCUGGCAGGACUGCCACCGUAAGGUGUGAGGAAGGUGGGGGUGACGUCAAAUCAGCACGGCCCUUACGUCCGGGGCUACACACGUGUUACAAUGGGGAGUACAGAGAGUAAGCCGCCGGCAACGUCGGUUCAAUCAUGAAAGCUCUCCUCAGUUCGGAUUGGGGUCUGCAACCCGACCCCAUGAAGCUGGAUCGCUAGUAA